rnacentral:rRNA from 1 species
UACGUAGGGGGCAAGCGUUGUCCGGAUUCAUUGGGCGUAAAGAGCUCGUAGGCGGCCUGCUAAGUCGAACGUGAAAUCCCCGGGCUCAACCCGGGAACUGCGUCCGAUACUGGCAGGCUUGAAUCCGGGAGAGGGAUGUGGAAUUCCAGGUGUAGCGGUGAAAUGCGUAGAUAUCUGGAGGAACACCGGUGACGAAGGCGGCAUCCUGGACCGGUAUUGACGCUGAGACGCGAAAGCGUGGGGAGCAAACAGG